UACGGGGGGAGCAAGCGUUGUUCGGAUUUACUGGGCGUAAAGGGCGCGUAGGCGGCCUGCUAAGUCGAACGUGAAAUCCCUGGGCUCAACCCAGGAACUGCGUCCGAUACUGGUUGGCUUGAAUCCGGGAGAGGGAUGUGGAAUUCCAGGUGUAGCGGUGAAAUGCGUAGAUAUCUGGAGGAAUACCGGUGGCGAAGGCGGCAUCCUGGACCGGCAUUGACGCUGAGGAGCGAAAGCUAGGGGAGCAAACGGGG
rnacentral:rRNA from 1 species